ensembl:snRNA U4 U4 spliceosomal RNA
AGCUUUGCGCAGUGGCAGUAACAUAGCUGAUGAGGUUCAUCCGAUGCGUGUUUAUUGCUAGUUGAAAACUAUACCCAAUACCCCGCCCUAUGGACGUGUAAACCGUUCACUGUGGUAAUUUCUGAUGGGUUCCCCGGAAC